GCGGGUAUGGUGAAAUCGGUAAACACGCCGGUCUUAGGAGCCGGUGCCAACGCUUAAGGGUUCGAGUCCCUUUACCCGCACCA
rnacentral:tRNA from 1 species